CUUAUUUCCUAGGGUAAACAGUAGGUCCUAUAGGCCGGCCUGUACAUGUUACAUUGCAAGGAGAAAGAGACGAGUUUUGUUUAAGUAAACUGUGGUAUGCUUGCAUAUUAUUCAGUCUGCAUUCUGUUUAGUGAGGAUUGUAUUGAGCUGAUCAAGGUGAAUAUAAAAGACGGAGUGAGUGUAUGAUUAUGCUAUGUCUUGGUGAGAAUAUCAAGCCUUAAAAAGUGUAUGAACCCUGUCACGCAAAUGUGACAAUCUUGAUCCUGUUUCUUUAACUUUGAGGGUUGGAUCUAUCACGGGUCUGUUAAUUACGUGUCAGAAUUUCAGAUUGGGAACAUAAUGGGUAGAUGCUUGUCAUGCAAUAUGUACACAAAUGAAUUGAAAAUUUGAAAUGACGAUUUGAUGUAAGCUUUACUGACAUGUACUUUUUCUUU
rnacentral:lncRNA from 1 species